CCGCCCUCUCCUCGCCCCCCUCCCGGCCUCCGCCCCACCGCCCGGGCCGCGCACCGUCGUUGCAGCAGAUGCCUGCGGCGGCGCAGCGGCCCCCGCUCCCGCAGGGCUUCUGGCCGGACUGGCAGGGCGACGGCAGGGUCAACCUAGUGCUGUACUCCAAUGACAUCUCUGCCACCCUCGGAAGGGGGUGUCCUCAUUCGCACAACGGUCUGCUAGCAUCUCACCUCCUCCUAUCAGUCUGGCUCAAGGACCCUUGGCAGUGUGGUCACUCAAAUGCUCUGUGAGCUGUGCAGAGGACCGGAAGCCACAAACACUGUAGGAGCCCAAGAACCAGGACUGAAUUGACUCCAAGAGGGUGUGCUGAGCAGCAGUGACAAACAGGGAAAAUGCUGGGCCUUGGGAAAAUGCCUGAACAGGGGUGAUGGAGAGCAGCCAACAGUUACCGCGGGCCGACUGUGUUCCCAACAUUACCACUGUAAGCCGUGUAACAACGUCAGGAGACACACGGAUCACCAUUUUAUUGAUGCAGAGACUGAGGCCCAAACGGGUUGAGCAAUUUCCUGAAGUGACACAGCCAGCGAGGAGCAGGACCCCAAUGCCAGAGCACCCUGAGGGAAGGGGUCCCCACUCCUGCGCCUUUCAAAGCGUUGAUGGGUUAUCCCAGGUUGUGAUUUGCUGUUUUGUUGGGAAGAGGGAACUCCAGGAGCUCCUACACAUCAUGUCCUAAAUGUGUUAAUCUGAUGCUGUCCUAACUUGCUUCAAAAUAACAUGAGAAGGGUGAAUUAGGUGAGGGUAAGAAGACUUCCCAGGUGGCGCUAGUGGUAAAGAACCUGCCUGACAGUUCUGGAGACUAAGAGAUUCAGGUUUGUUCCCUGGGUCAGGUUUGAUCCGGAGAAGGCAAUGGCAUGCCACUCCAGUAC